AAUCAGUUUUUUGCGCGCAUCAAUCAAAACACAAUGAACGGUGUCAAAACGAUCGUAUACUGACUCUAUAUAGUAGGUCGUAUAUACCUCAAAACUACCGUAUAAAUAUAAAUAAUUAUCGUAUAUAUGGCAAUACUGGUUCAGGCAGAGCUGCACGCGUAUGGAUAAAGGUGGUGCUUGUAUGUAUUUUGUAUUUAGUGAAGGUUCGGUGUUUAAACUAACUAAAUAAACCUUAACCUAAAUAUCUACUAACACUUUCCCUCAAUUUAAUUUAAUUAGUAACAAUGGUAAUGACGUUUUCAAUUCCCUCCUUUCAAUGACCCCAAAGUGUAAGAAGUGAUUUGGACCGUUUAUAAAGCUUCCGACAUGUUAAAACCUGCUCGUUUAAUAUACCGACGCAACUGAGCAGCGCAGCACGUCACGUCACAUAACGGCACCUCGCUCGCGUUGUUUACGGGAUCGUAUCGAGCCAAAAGACGAAAAAAAGGGAGGAGCUGUAUCCAUCUGAUUAAGCUGGAAGACACAGAACAGAUGUAAACAGACUGUCACCAGGUCAGACCACAGGGGUCAAUAGAAGACGUACAGCCUCCUUGUGUGUAACCUGCACCCGACAAGACUCCUGCAGCAGGCUGCACAAAUGGGGCCUCCAUGGUGCCUUAAUGAAAGCUUCACAUUAGCCGAACGACCUGGUAAUGUGUCUGAACAUGCUGGUAACACAGCACGUGGUUGUUUGGGUUGGCUGUCAUAGCAGGUAAAGUAGUCAGGACCGCAGCUCCCAGAAAAUCCAGUAACUUAGUAUUGUAACGAGAACGAGUUUCAAGUCUUACUUUUUUUCAGUUUAU
rnacentral:lncRNA from 1 species